rnacentral:rRNA from 1 species
CGGGGAGCACCGCAACAGGUGGAGCCUGCGGUUUAAUCGGACUCAACGCCGGGAAACUCACCAGAUAAGACAGCUGAAUGAUAGUCGGGCUGAAGACUCUACUUGACUAGCUGAGAGGAGGUGCAUGGCCGUCGUCAGUUCGUACUGUGAAGCAUCCUGUUAAGUCAGGCAACGAGCGAGACCCACGCCAACAGUUGCCAGCUCGUCCUCCGGGAUGGUGGGGACACUGUUGGGACCGCCUCUGCUAAAGAGGAGGAAGGAAUGGGCAACGGUAGGUCAGCAUGCCCCGAAUUAUCUGGGCUACACGCGGGCUACAAUGGGUGGGACAAUGGGUAUCGACACCGAAAGGUGAAGGCAAUCUCCUAAACCCAUCCGUAGUUCGGAUUGUGGGCUGCAACUCGCCCACAUGAAGCUGGAAUCUGUAGUAAUCGUGUCUCAAAAUGGCACGGUGAAUAUGUCCCUGCUCCUU